GAAGCGGCAACAGCUCAAAUUUGAAAUCUGGCUCUCGGGCCCGAGUUGUAAUUUGUAGAGGAUGCUUUUGGCAAGGUGCCUUCCGAGUUUCCUGGAACGGGACGCCAUAGAGGGUGAGAGCCCCGUCUGGUUGGACACCGAGCCUCUGUAAAGCUCCUUCGACGAGUCGAGUAGUUUGGGAAUGCUGCUCUAAAUGGGAGGUAUAUGUCUUCUAAAGCUAAAUACUGGCCAGAGACCGAUAGCGCACAAGUAGAGUGAUCGAAAGAUGAAAAGCACUUUGAAAAGAGAGUUAAAAAGCACGUGAAAUUGUUGAAAGGGAAGCGCUUAUGACCAGACUUGGGCUUGGUUGAUCAUCCGGCGUUCUCGCCGGUGCACUCUUCCAGUUCAGGCCAGCAUCAGUUUGCCCCGGGGGAUAAAAGCUUCGGGAAUGUGGCUCCUCCGGGAGUGUUAUAGCCCGUUGCAUAAUACCCUGGGGCAGACUGAGGACCGCGCUUCGUGCAAGGAUGCUGGCGUAAUGGUCAUCAGCGACCCGUCUUGAAACACGGACCAAGGAGUCGUCUUCGUAUGCGAGUGUUCGGGUGUCAAACCCCUACGCGUAAUGAAAGUGAACGCAGGUGAGAGCUUCGGCGCAUCAUCGACCGAUCCUGAUGUUCUCGGAUGGAUUUGAGUAAGAGCAUACGGGGCCGGACCCGAAAGAAGGUGAACUAUGCCUGUGUAGGGUGAAGCCAGAGGAAACUCUGGUGGAGGCUCGCAGCGGUUCUGACGUGCAAAUCGAUCGUCAAACAUGGGCAUGGGGGCG
rnacentral:rRNA from 1 species